GUGAAAGGCUCUACAGCCUGUAUUGGCAGUGAGGUUUCCUACUACCUGCUAAAAUCACUGAGAGCUGGAUUAAGUGGUGGAACCUCAGAACAUGUCACAGCAGAGAGACACUGGUAGCAGAGCAAUGGAGGCAACAGUAGCAGAGUGAAAAACAUCAAUUGUGACUCAGCUGCAGCAACUGAGGCAUUGUUUGAUGCCUUACCCUCUUCGCCCAGGAUGGGAGGUGAACUCAUGAGAACAUAUCUCUGAACUCUGGGUCCUCAUUGACCAAGGACAGCAACUGAGGAGUAAGCAGAGUCGACGGGGGAGCCACGGCACUCGACUUGCCGCCGUGAGGAUGGCCAUCAGCUGCAGAUGUGGCCUGGAGGAUCUCAUCCGGAACACUGGUGGAGCAGCUCACCCAAAUAAGGAGGACAAAGAAGAGGAAUAAAGAAGACAUGUUCCUGGAGAUGCUGCAAGCCUCUGGCGCAUCAGAUUGCGAGCAGAGAGCUUGGAGGGUAGCAAUCAAUGACAAAAUGCAGAGGGAUAGCGAGGACAGGAAAAACAGGCAGCAGGAGAUAAUGCUGCUCAGGAAGCAAACAGACAUGCUGCAGUCUCUGAUUCAACUUCAGGCUGAACACAUCCAUGCUUCCCUCCCCUAACAGCCUACUGCAUUCUAGGACCUCCCUACACUCCACCCCACCACACACACACAUACACGUUCCUUGUAUCUUCCAGGGCUGCAGCAGUACCCCAGCCACUUCACCACCUGGGAGAUUAAAUAUAUUGACAGCCCCACAUACACCCAGAUGUGAGAGCCUUGUUGUUUGUGCUUGUGAAUUCCCUGUUU